CCUACUACCCUCCCGUGGUUGCCGUUCGUUCGCCCCUACCCGAACGUAACGACGGUUACUUUACCGGACGGUUAAUUUUAGGGUCGGGUAAACGGGUAAAACGGGGACCACGGACGGGCCGUUUUAACGUUUUAAGGGUAAGGUAGGUAAAGAAACCCCGGGGCCCCGGUCUAACCCUACCGGGGUAACGGUAACGCGUUUCCUUAAAAACCUAAACGGGUCGGAAACGAACGUACGUAAGGUAAGUUAGGGUCGGACGAAGGGGUAGGGGUUGGGAAGGUUUAACCUUUCGUGGUUAGGACGGGUCGGGUAAAUAAGUCGGUACGGUAAGUAAUUAAGGGUAAAGGGGAAAACGAACCCAACGUAGGGUCGGAACGGGACGGACCAACCCUACGGGUCGGUAAUAACUCGACGACUGAGGUGGCGAAGACGCGGGAGGGCAACAAGAGUAUAGACCUCGUGUCACNCGAACGAANGUGCANCGUCGGUGCCUUCUGAGCUAUUGGCGGCAGCACACNUAAUAGCCGCCNCGGAGGAGCCGGCAGUAAAAGUUAACAAUAAGAUAUCGGGCGGGGCCCGCACAAGCGGUGGAGCAUGUGGUUUAAUUCGAAGCAACGCGAAGAACCUUACCAGGCCUUGACAU
rnacentral:rRNA from 1 species